rnacentral:tRNA from 1 species
CAAAGUGUAGCUUAUCCAAAGCACCUGGCCUACACCCAGAAGAUUCCAUUCAACCAUGGCCACUUUGA